UACGAAGGGGGCUAGCGUUGCUCGGAAUCACUGGGCGUAAAGGGCGCGUAGGCGGGCUCUUAAGUCAGGGGUGAAAGCCCAAGGCUCAACCUUGGAAUUGCCUGUCAAACUGCAUGGCUUGAGACCGGGAGAGGUGAGUGGAAUUCCCAGUGUAGCGGUGAAAUGCGUAGAUAUUGGGAGGAACACCAGUGGCGAAGGCGGCUCACUGGACCGGUACUGACGCUGAGGCGCGAAAGCGUGGGUAGCAAACAGG
rnacentral:rRNA from 1 species